ACGCUCGACACCUACGGGGGGCAGCAGUGGGGAAUAUUGCACAAUGGGGGAAACCCUGAUGCAGCGACGCCGCGUGAAGGAAGAAGUAUCUCGGUAUGUAAACUUCUAUCAGCAGGGAAGAAAAUGACGGUACCUGACUAAGAAGCCCCGGCUAACUACGUGCCAGCAGCCGCGGUAAUCUGAGCGGGCUGCAAGGC
rnacentral:rRNA from 1 species